rnacentral:rRNA from 1 species
ACGAACGCUGGCGGCGUGCCUCAUACAUGCAAGUUGAGCGAUGAAGAUUGGUGCUUGCACCCAUUUGAAGAGCAGCGAACGGGUGAGUAACGCGUGGGGAAUCUGCCUUUGAGCGGGGGACAACAUUUGGAAACGAAUGCUAAUACCGCAUAACAACUUUAAACAUAAGUUUUAAGUUUGAAAGAUGCAAUUGCAUCACUCAAAGAUGAUCCCGCGUUGUAUUAGCUAGUUGGUGAGGUAAAGGCUCACCAAGGCGAUGAUACAUAGCCGACCUGAGAGGGUGAUCGGCCACAUUGGGACUGAGACACGGCCCAAACUCCUACGGGAGGCAGCAGUAGGGAAUCUUCGGCAAUGGACGAAAGUCUGACCGAGCAACGCCGCGUGAGUGAAGAAGGUUUUCGGAUCGUAAAACUCUGUUGGUAGAGAAGAACGUUGGUGAGAGUGGAAAGCUCAUCAAGUGACGGUAACUACCCAGAAAGGGACGGCUAACUACGUG